rfam:Homo sapiens chromosome 18, GRCh38 reference primary assembly.
AUCCCAUCUCUUAAAUAAAAAGAUUUUUUUUUUAAGAAGUUGUACAUGUGCAAUGGCUGCAAACAGCAGCUUCCUUGGCAGUGUGUGCAGCCUGUUUCUUGUAUGGGUUGCUCUAAGGGACCUUGGAGACAGGC